rnacentral:rRNA from 1 species
CGUAAACUAUGCCAAUUAGCAAUUGGGAGACGCUACAUCAUGGUGCUCUCAGUAGCUUCCGGGAAACCAAAAUUAGGU